AACGAACGCUGGCGGCAGGCCUAACACAUGCAAGUCGAGCGCCCCGCUAGGGGAGCGUCGGACGGGUGAGUAACGCGUGGGAAUAUGCCCUUUGCUACGGAAUAGUCUCGGGAAACUGGGGGUAAUACCGUAUACGCCCUUUGUGGGAAAGAUUUAUCGGCGAAGGAUUAGCCCGCGUUGGAUUAGGUAGUUGGUGGGGUAAUGGCCUACCAAGCCGACGAUCCAUAGCUGGUUUGAGAGGAUGAUCAGCCACACUGGGACUGAGACACGGCCCAGACUCCUACGGGAGGCAGCAGUGGGGAAUCUUAGACAAUGGGGGCAACCCUGAUCUAGCCAUGCCGCGUGAGUGAUGAAGGCCUUAGGGUUGUAAAGCUCUUUCAGCUGGGAAGAUAAUGACGGUACCAGCAGAAGAAGCCCCGGCUAACUCCGUG
rnacentral:rRNA from 1 species